rnacentral:rRNA from 1 species
GACGGGGGCCCGCACAAGCGGUGGAGCAUGUGGUUUAAUUCGAAGCAACGCGAAGAACCUUACCAGGUCUUGACAUCUUUUGACAAUCCUAGAGAUAGGACUUUCCCUUCGGGGACAAAAUGACAGGUGGUGCAUGGUUGUCGUCAGCUCGUGUCGUGAGAUGUUGGGUUAAGUCCCGCAACGAGCGCAACCCUUAUUGUUAGUUGCCAGCAUUAAGUUGGGCACUCUAGCAAGACUGCCGGUGACAAACCGGAGGAAGGUGGGGAUGACGUCAAAUCAUCAUGCCCCUUAUGAUCUGGGCUACACACGUGCUACAAUGGACGGUACAACGAGUCGCAAGACCGCGAGGUUUAGCAAAUCUCUUAAAGCCGUUCUCAGUUCGGAUUGUAGGCUGCAACUCGCCUACAUGAAGUCGGAAUCGCUAGUAAUCGCGGAUCAGCAUGCCGCGGURAAUACGUUCCCGGGCCUUGUACACACCGCCCGUCACACCAUGAGAGUUUGUAACACCCAAAGCCGGUGGGGUAACCUUUURGAGCCAGCCGUCUAAGGUGGGACAGAUGAUUAGGGUGAAGUCGUAACAAGGUAGCCGUAGGAGAACCUGCGGCUGGAUCACCUCCUUUCUAAGGA